UCGCUAUGGGAUGGCCCCGCGGUGCAUUAGCUAGUUGGUAAGGUAACGGCUUACCAAGGCAAUGAUGCAUAGCCGAGUUGAGAGACUGAUCGGCCACAUUGGGACUGAGACACGGCCCAAACUCCUACGGGAGGCAGCAGUAGGGAAUCUUCCACAAUGGACGCAAGUCUGAUGGAGCAACGCCGCGUGAGUGAAGAAGGUUCUCGGAUCGUAAAGCUCUGUUGUUGGUGAAGAAGGAUAGAGGUAGUAACUGGCCUUUAUUUGACGGUAAUCAACCAGAAAGUCACGGCUAACUACGUGCCAGCAGCCGCGGUAAUACGUAGGUGGCAAGCGUUGUCCGGAUUUAUUGGGCGUAAAGCGAGCGCAGGCGGAAGAAUAAGUCUGAUGUGAAAGCCCUCGGCUUAACCGAGGAACUGCAUCGGAAACUGUUUUUCUUGAGUGCAGAAGAGGAGAGUGGAACUCCAUGUGUAGCGGUGGAAUGCGUAGAUAU
rnacentral:rRNA from 1 species